GACGAAGGAUGCAAGCGUUAUCCGGAUUCAUUGGGUUUAAAGGGCGCGUAGGCGGACUUGUAAGUCAGUGGUGAAAUCUGUGGGCUUAACCCACAAACUGCCAUUGAUACUGCAGGUCUAGAGUACAGUUGCCGUUGGCGGAAUAUGACAUGUAGUGGUGAAAUACUUAGAUAUGUCAUAGAACACCGAUUGCGAAGGCAGCUAACGAAGCUGUAACUGACGCUGAGGCUCGAAAGUGCGGGGAUCAAACAGG
rnacentral:rRNA from 1 species